GACGAACGCUGGCGGCGUGCCUAACACAUGCAAGUCAGGGAGAAAGAGGUAGCAAUAUCUCGAGUAAACCGGCGAACGGGUGAGUAACACGUAGGUAACCUGCCCUCGAGUUGGGAAUAACUUCGAGAAAUCGAGGCUAAUACCGGAUAAUGCAACGAACUCGCAUGGGUUUGUUGUUAAAGUUCCGCGCAAGCGGAACGCUUGAGGAUGGACCUGCGGCCGAUUAGCUAGUUGGCGGAGUAACAGCCCACCAAGGCGACGAUCGGUAGCCGACCUGAGAGGGUGACCGGCCACACUGGGACUGAGAUACGGCCCAGACUCCUACGGGAGGCAGCAGUGAGGAAUCUUGCGCAAUGGGCGAAAGCCUGACGCAGCGACGCCGCGUGAGGGAUGACGGCC
rnacentral:rRNA from 1 species